rnacentral:rRNA from 1 species
CCAGCACCCCGAGUGGUCGGGACGAUUAUUGGGCCUAAAGCAUCCGUAGCCGGUUUUACAAGUCCUCCGUUAAAUCCAACUGCCUAACAGAUGGGCCGCGGAGGAUACUAUAAGACUAGGAGGCAGGAGAGGCAAGCGGUACUCAGUGGGUAGGGGUAAAAUCCGUUGAUCCAUUGAAGACCACCAGUGGCGAAGGCGGCUUGCCAGAAUGCGCUCGACGGUGAGGGAUGAAAGCUGGGGGAGCAAACCGGAUUAGAUACCCGGGUAGUCCCAGCUGUAAACGAUGCAGACUCGGUGAUGGACUAGCUUUAUGCUAGUCCAGUGCCGCAGGGAAGCCGUUAAGUCUGCCGCCUGGGUAGUACGGUCGCAAGACUG